GACGAACGCUGGCGGCGUGCUUAACACAUGCAAGUCGAACGGAGUGGCGAACGGGGGAGUAACACGUGGGUGACCUGCCCUGCACUUCGGGAGAAGCCUGGGAAACUGGGUAUAAUACCGGAUAGUUUGGGAUGGGCCCGCGGCCUACCAGCUUGUUGGUGGGGUAAUGGUCUAGCAAGGCGGCGACGGGUAGCCGGCCUGAGAGGGUGGACGGCCCCAUUGGGACUGGGGCACGAGCCAUACGGCAACGGGCGGCAGCGGUGGGAAUUAUUGCGCAAUAGGCGGCGUGAUGAUACAGCGUCGCCGCGUGGGUGAUGACGGCUUUUGGGUUGUAAAGUCCUUUCACCAUCAACGCGGUAGAUAGCGAGAAAGCACCGGCUAACUACGUGCCAGCAGCCGCGGUAAUUC
rnacentral:rRNA from 1 species